AACUUAUCCAGAGAAGUUGAGGGAAUUGGCCCUGUGAAGCUUCAGCAACAGACUUUGUAAAGAAGUACUGUGCUUCGUCCAACAAGUAAUACUACUUGAAAGAUAGGUG
rnacentral:ncRNA from 2 species